rnacentral:rRNA from 1 species
AACCCGACUACAUGAAGCUGGAAUCGCUAGUAAUCGCAGGUCAGCAUACUGCGGUGAAUACGUUCCCGGGUCUUGUACACACCGCCCGUCACACCAUGGGAGCCGGAAAUGCCCGAAGCCAGUGACCCAACCUUAGGGAGGGAGCUGUCGAAGGUGGAGCCGGUAACUGGGGUGAAGUCGUAACAAGGUACC